GGAUGAUCGCUGGCGGCGUGCCUAAUACAUGCAAGUCGAGCGAACUGAUUAGAAGCUUGCUUCUAUGACGUUAGCGGCGAACGGGUGAGUAACACGUGGGCAACCUGCCUGUAAGACUGGGAUAACUUCGGGAAACCGAAGCUAAUACCGGAUAGGAUCUUCUCCUUCAUGGGAGAUGAUUGAAAGAUGGUUUCGGCUAUCACUUACAGAUGGGCCCGCGGUGCAUUAGCUAGUUGGUGAGGUAACGGCUCACCAAGGCAACGAUGCAUAGCCGACCUGAGAGGGUGAUCGGCCACACUGGGACUGAGACACGGCCCAGACUCCUACGGGAGGCAGCAGUAGGGAAUCUUCCGCAAUGGACGAAAGUCUGACGGAGCAACGCCGCGUGAGUGAUGAAGGCUUUCGGGUCGUAAAACUCUGUUGUUAGGGAAGAACAAGUACRAGAGUAACUGCUYGUACCUUGACGGUACCUAACCAG
rnacentral:rRNA from 1 species